rnacentral:rRNA from 1 species
UACGUAGGGUGCGAGCGUUAAUCGGAAUUACUGGGCGUAAAGCGUGCGCAGGCGGUUUUUUAAGACAGAUGUGAAAUCCCCGGGCUUAACCUGGGAACCGCAUUUGUGACUGCAAGACUAGAGUACGGCAGAGGGGGGUAGAAUUCCACGUGUAGCAGUGAAAUACUUAGAUAUGUCGUAGAACACCGAUUGCGAAGGCAGCUAACGAAACUAUAACUGACGCUGAGGCACGAAAGUGCGGGGAUCAAACAGG